AUUGAACGCUGGCGGCAGGCCUAACCCAUGCAAGUCGAGCGGAGCGGCGGACGGGGGAGUAAUGCCUAGGAAUCUGCCUGGUAGUGGGGGAUAACGUCCGGAAACGGGCGCUAAUACCGCAUACUAUCAGACGAGUCUAGGUCGGAGUAGCUAGUUGGUGGGGUAAAGGCCUACCAAGGCGACGAUCCUUAACUGGUCUGAGAGGAGGAUCAGUCCCACUGGAACUGGUACACGGCCCAGACUCCUACGGGAGGCAGCAGUGGGGAAUUUUGGACAAUUGGCGAAAGCCUGAUCCAGCCAUGCCGCGUGUGUGAAGAAGGUCUUCGGAUUGUAAAGCACUUUAAGUUUGUAGGCGUUACCAACAGAAUAAGCACAGGCUAACUUCGUGCCAGCAGCCGCGGUAAUAC
rnacentral:rRNA from 1 species